rnacentral:pre_miRNA from 1 species
AAUAAAUGAAUUUUUAUGUUUUUUUAGAAUUUUUGACCCUUCGUCUUAUUUGAAAAUUCUUUUAUGAUUAAUGUUUUUAUGGUUACCUUAUGAUAAAACAUAAAUAGUACUUUACAUGUGACUAUUUUUUUAAUUUUUAAAUAAAUUUUUUAAAUAAGACGGAUGGUCAAACGCUUAACCUACGAAACCCAGAAAUCCUUUUUUU